AUUGAACGCUGGCGGCAGGCUUAGCACAUGCAAGUCGAGCGGAGCGAGGGUGCUUGCACCUUAGCUUAGCGGCGGACGGGUGAGUAAUGCUUAGGAAUCUGCCUAUUAGUGGGGGACAACAUUCCGAAAGGAAUGCUAAUACCGCAUACGCCCUACGGGGGAAAGCAGGGAUCUUCGGACCUUGCGCUAAUAGAUGAGCCUAAGUCGGAUUAGCUAGUUGGUGGGGUAAAGGCCUACCAAGGCGACGAUCUGUAGCGGGUCUGAGAGGAUGAUCCGCCACACUGGGACUGAGACACGGCCCAGACUCCUACGGGAGGCAGCAGUGGGGAAUAUUGGACAAUGGGCGGAAGCCUGAUCCAGCCAUGCCGCGUGUGUGAAGAAGGCCUUUUGGUUGUAAAGCACUUUAAGCGAGGAGGGGGCUACUUAGAUUAAUACUCUGGGAUAGUGGACGUUACUCGCAGAAUAAGCACCGGCUAACUCUGUGCCAGCAGCCGCCGUAA
rnacentral:rRNA from 1 species